UGACUUGGACAAGACUGUCAUCUGAGCACCAAUUUUCACAUUCUGUCUAAGGGCAGAUAAUGCUUAUAUAUGGAACAGUGUUGGUCUUCCAAUCCAAGUCUUUCUAAGAAAUGAAGAAAUGUGUACAGCUGGAAUCCUGUCUGCAACAACAUUUCCUCAUCUCCAGGCAAAAUGGGUUACUCCUCACCCCUCUCUGGUCACGCUGCCUGACUGUGGCCUCAGCCCUGAACCAUCCAGAUUCUUGUAUGUUGCUGCUUGCAGCACACUCAGGCCAUUGAACUGCAAGUCACUGCUGCUGCCAGGACACUCUGAACAAGCAGGCAGAUAGAGGAAUCACCUGAAGGCUGAGAGGAGCUACCCACUGCGGCAGGAAGAAUAGGGCGGAACUCAGGUGAUCCGUGGAGGCACCUGGGCAUCCUCUCUUGCCACUGGAGUAGUGAGCAGAUACAGGAGGCAGCCUUGAACUGAGAAGGAGGGACUGCCAAGCUGCAGCCUUCUCAGGAGUGAAGUUUGGCCAUACCACCAGCAAGCCAGCAGGUGAACAGAGGUGGCUGUUGAAGGAGAGGAGAAUGCAGAAUGCAGAGUCAAAGAAGGAGAUGAACGGCAGUGUUGGGGCCAUACCACCAGCUCUCCGCUCUCAGUUUCCCCCAGGG